rnacentral:other from 1 species
AUAUCCCUGCUGUGUGCGUGUGAUAUCGCAGUUUUGAGCCAACACAUCUACUUCGGGAGUUCAAACUCUCAUAGCGGCACGACGCUCUUCGGAGUACGCAAUGUUAUGAGGCGGACACCCACCUGCUCUUGCAGGAUCAAAACGCGGUACAUUACGGCAUGGUGGGGCUCUU